AUGACCGGCGGAGGUGGUUCGUCGGCCGGAGCAAAAGACGCCCUCGACUCACUGGAUGUUGGAGGAAGCAGCAGCGAGCCAAAGCCCUUCCUCCAUCGACCUGAUCAUGCGCGGACGCCGGCAUACGAGGAAUACAAUUAUGAUUAUCCGUGCAGUCUAGGCAUAAAUCAUGGUGGUUUCUUUGUUGGCCAAGGUAGCUACAGGAGUUACUGCAAUGGAAAAACUGCUUGGUAUGAUUAUGUGCCGUCUGCGAAACUGACCAUGUCGGAAUUGGAAAGGAUAGUUGAAGAUCUAGGCUAUGAGAUGGCAGGUAGAUUGGAUGUAUAUUGGUGUUUGCUAGGGUUGCAAAUUAAGACUGGUGGUCUUAGGAAAAUGAAUUCCCAGGAAGCUUGUGACAAUAUUAGUGCUUGUGUAGUUUUUGGACAUAAAGAAAUUCAGUUAUUCCUUGACCAUGAUGAGAGCUACAGGAGUAUCGAAUGGGAUGAUGUUGUGGUCUUUCCUAUCAAUGAUUUACCUCAUGUGAUCAGUCCUAGGAAAGUAAAAGAGGACAAAUUUGUAGAGAGAAUGCCUGAACAAAAUAUGGUAGAGGAGCAAGGUGAUGACAAUGCAGAGGAGGCUGGGCAGAACAUGGAAGAGGGGCAAGGUGAUGAGCAAUUCAAUGAGGAAGAAAUUGAGCAGUAUAUGGCAGAUGCUGAGGAAGAGGAUGAGGCUGAUGUGGAAGAGGAACAGGAGGAAGAUGUUGUGGAAGAGGAACAUGAUGAAUAUGCACAGUCAGAUGUAGAUGAUGACAGUCUUUCUCAUGCUGGAAGAGGAGUUAGUGAUUCAGAAAAUGGGGAUGAAAUUGUGGACAGUGAUUAUGCUAUAUCUGAUGGAGAUGUAGAUCUUCUCGAAGAUCAAAUAGAAGAGGUGGUAAUAGAUGUAAAAGGAAAGAAAGCUGCAGAUAUUGGAGCUUGUUCUGAUGAGGAAGAUGUUCAGAUGCCAGAUUCUGAUGAGGAUGAGCUGAAGCACAACUUCAAUACAUUCAGGCCAGAAGAUAUGCAUGAUCCUGUGUUCAAAGUUGGACAGUUAUUCCAGUCACCAGAGAUGUUAAGGAAAGCCAUUAGGGAAUAUUUAAAUUGUUAG
rnacentral:rRNA from 1 species